rnacentral:rRNA from 1 species
AGGCAGCAGUGGGGGAAUAUUGCACAAUGGGCGCAAGCCUGAUGCAGCCAUGCCGCGUGUAUGAAGAAGGACCUUCGGGUUGUAAAGUACUUUCAGCAGUGAGGAAGGUGGGUAUGUUAAUAGCAUAUUCAUUUGACGUUAGCUGUAGAAGAAAGCACCGGCUAACUCCGUGCCAGCAGCCGCGGUAAUACGGAGGGUGCGAGCGUUAAUCGGAAUUACUGGGCGUAAAGCGCAUGCAGGUGGUUUGUUAAGUCAGAUGUGAAAGACCCGGGGCUCAACCUCGGAAUUGCAUUUGAAACUGGCAAACUAGAGUACUGUAGAGGGGGGUAGGAAUUUCAGGUGUAGCGGUGAAAUGCGUAGAGAUCUGAAGGAAUACCGGUGGCGAAGGCGGCCCCCUGGACAGAUACUGACACUCAGAUGCGAAAGCGUGGGGAGCAAACAGGAUUAGAUACCCUGGUAG